GAUGAACGCUGGCGGCGUGCCUAAUACAUGCAAGUCGAGCGAACGGACGAGAAGCUUGCUUCUCUGAUGUUAGCGGCGGACGGGUGAGUAACACGUGGAUAACCUACCUAUAAGACUGGGAUAACUUCGGGAAACCGGAGCUAAUACCGGAUAAUAUUUUGAACCGCAUGGUUCAAAAGUGAAAGCCGGUCUUGCUGUCACUUAUAGAUGGAUCCGCGCUGCAUUAGCUAGUUGGUAAGGUAACGGCUUACCAAGGCAACGAUGCAUAGCCGACCUGGGAGGGGGAAGGGCGACACUGGGACUGAGACACGGUCCAGACUCCUACGGGAGGCAGCGGUAGGGAAUCUUCCGAAAUGGGCGAAAGCCUGACGGAGCAACGCCGCGUGAGUGAUGAAGGUCUUCGGAUCGUAAGACUCUGUUAUGAGGGAAGAACAUAUGUGUAAGUAACUGAGCACAUCUUGACGGUACCUAAACAGAAAGCCACGGCUAACUACGUG
rnacentral:rRNA from 1 species